UUUGACAAGCUGAGAAUAGCACCUGUACUUGAAAUGAAGUGGUGCAAAACUAUUGCUAUGAAUACUAAUAGCAAUAAAAUUCUGUGCCCAAGGUGUUGGAAAGUGGCUUAUGUAAAGAAGGCCCAAUUCCAGCUAGAUGGAGAGCUGUUUUUUUCCCACUGCUCUUCACCUGAGUCUUCAGGACAUAUGCAUGUAUUUUGGCAGAAUUUUACUCCAGUUCACUUGUCUUCAGAAGGAAAAUGUCCAUUUACACCAUUCCACCUUCUGAGAUUCAAUUGCAAAAACCAUACAUCAGGAAUGCUCUUCCUGGGCAUUUCUGCAUAUGCAUUGGCUACCCAUGAUUGCCAACCACAAGGUUUUCAAGAGAACCUCUCUGUGCCUGAAGGGAAGAGAGAAAAGACAAGUUUCUCUGGGAACUUCUGUGUGUUUUAAAUGCGCAAAUCCCAAUCUAGCAGGCAGAAAUCUUUCAGCAAGUUUGUGAAUGAUCAUGAUACUGUGUGUGGCUUUUCUCUGAAUCUGUUUGUGAUUCACACCAAAACUGAAGUCUCUGAAUUCCUUGGACUUUGCUCUAAGCCAGCCUUCAUUAAUUAAGCAGCGAAUGUGAUUGUGCUACAUGCUAAAGGUAGACAAGAGAUGUGUGUUUCAACAAUUAGACUUGUCUGCUCUUCAAAAUAGAAUUAUCUCUGAAGGGGAUUUACUAUUGAAUGUGAUUGCUUUCUAUGUAAAAUCAAUAACCACAAUCUAGUCCCUAAUAGGCUUUCUGAAGUCUCUACUUCUUCUCUCUUCGAGGGUACAAGCAGGGGGAUUUUCCCCGUGUAAUUGUAUGGUAGUAGCUUGCUAGCUUCACAAUCCAGUUAUUUUUUUGCAAUUUCUAAUUCAUUUGACUCAAAUUGGAGAUGGAGAUGUCAUUAAGGUUGAGUGAAGGUUUCUUAAGAACUAGAUAAACAAUUGCAGACUAAUGAAUAAUUUCUGAGAAAAGUAAACAAACUGUGUUGUGAGAAA